AUGUGGUUCAAGUUUAAGGAAAAAGUGAACAAUGGAAGGGUUUCAAAUUAUUGGCCUCUUCUCUUCCGGAUAUUGUGCCUUCAUUUCUAUUUUAAAUGGCUAUUUCUUCUUUUUAUUUUUCAGCUAAGGGUGAACAGAAUAAUGAUGAACAUCAGAAAAAGGAUGAUGUUCCUGAAAAAAUAUUUGAAAUUCAAGAAAGAAAUGUACCUCAGGAAAGAAAUGUUACUAAAAAACGUGAAGAAGAAAAGGGUGAGUCCCAUGAUUGCAUUUCCUUGUAUACCUAAACAUGGUUUCAUCUGUUACUUGUGCCUUUCCCUUCACUUGCAAAGAUUAUCGUUCUCAACUCCAACAUCUGCAUAUUUUACAUGCUCUUCUGUCAAAUCUGAAUCUUAUCUUUACAACCGUAGGUUUCCACUUUUAUUCGCUAUUGAAUUAUCCCAAAAUACUGCUCUUUGACUAGUCUUAUAUUUGCAAUAUAUGCAGACAUUCCUUCUCAGUCAAGGUGCUUUACUGGUGCUUCAUUUAUCACAUAAUAUUGGACUGUAACCUGGACUGUUUGAAUGUUAUAUGUCACAGAAACACUGAAAUCUUUUAUAUAUUCUCUCUCUCUCUUUUUUUUUUUUUUUUUUGAUCUUUUCGUCUUUUCUAGCACAGCACCCACGGCAUAUGGAGGUUCCCAGGCUAGGGGUCCAAUUGGAGCUACAGCUGCUGGCCUACGCCAGAGCCACAGCAAUGCGGGAUCUGAGCCUCGUCUGCAACCUACACCACAGUUUAUGGCAACGAAGGAUCCUUAACCCACUGAGUGAGGCCAGGGAUUGAAUCUGCAACCUCAUGGUUCCUAGUCAGAUUCGUUAACUGAGCCACUACGGGAACUCCAUGAAAUCUUUUGUAUAUUCUUAAACAGUGUGGAAUUAUUUGCUUUAGCGGACACUUAACUUGUUUAAACUCAAACUGCAAGCACUACAAUGCCUGUGGUGGUUGACAACUGGGUCUCAGUUUGGGUUUUAUUAUAAGUCAUCCCCAUAAGCUCAUGGCUGAAAUUCAAAGGGAUUUAGGACAAGUUCGUAUGUCGCUCUGGGGUUCUCUUUUUUGGUUCUCCUCUCCUGCAUUCCUCUUUCAUUCUCCUGUGUUCUUAGUUCUUUCUCUGGUCCCUAGAUACAAAAAUAAGAGACUUUCUAUUAGACUAUAUGCAACAUUGUUAACUGGGUGCCCUCAGGGUAAAGGCACAACAAUUAGGAAGCCUGAUUUAUGCUGGUCACUUGCUUCACGGUUUGACUCGCCAACAAAUUUGGUCUGCAUUUGUUCACUCUCCAGGGCUUCAAGUAGUUGCUUCGUAUAUUUCAUCCAAAGUUUAUGGUUACCUUCUACGAGGAGGGUCAAUUUGUUAGCAGGCUAAUUUCUCUCUAUAGAGGCAAACUGUUAGGGCUUAAAAACAUACCAGCCCAUUUAAUAUCUGUCAAAUUUAUUUCCUAAAUGUUCACAGUGAUUUACACUGUUGGCAGGAUAUGAAAAUUCCAGUUACUCCACAUGUUCACCAAAACUUGGCAUUAUCAGCAUCUGACUUUAGAUAUUCUAGAGAAUGCAUAGCAUUAUCACAUGUUUAAUUUGCAUUCUUCCGAUGGAUGAUGGAGUUGAGAAUAUUUGCAAAUAUGGAUUUAGUGUAAAAAUACAUAUUUUAUAGUAAAAAAAAACUCAGCAAAUUCAGUGAAGAAGGAAUGUACCUCAAUAGGCUAAUAUAAAUAUAAUAUUGGUCUUACAAACAAGCGCAGAUAGCAUCUCAAUAGAGAAAAGCUGAAAGGCUUUCCUCUAAGAUCAGAAAGGAUGUGUGUCCACUCUUGCAACUUCCACUCAACAUAGUUCAGGUAUACCUCUUUUUACUGCAUUUCAUUCUACUGUGUUUUGCAGAUAUCACAUUUUGUACAAACCGAACAUCUGUGGCAACCCUGCCUUGUCAGAUGAUGGUUAGCACUUUUCAGCAGUAAAGUAUUUUUUAAUUGAGAUAUGCACAUUUUUAGACAUAAUUCUAUUGUUCACUUAAUAGACAGUAGAAUAGUGGAAACAUAACUUUUAUAUGCACUAGGGAACCAAACAUUCAUGUGACAUAUGUUAUUGAAUAUUUCCUAAUUAUGGUGGUCUGGAACUGCAGCUGCAAUAUCGCCAAGGUAUGUUUGUACUCAAAAUCCUAGCCAGGGCAUUAAGGCAAUAAAAAAAUGAAAGGUAUCCCA
ensembl:lncRNA